UACAGAGGUGGCAAGCGUUGUUCGGAAUUACUGGGCGUAAAGGGCGCGUAGGCGGUCCGAUAAGUCCCGUGUGAAAUCCCUCGGCUCAACUGAGGAACCGCACGGGAAACUGCCGGGCUUGAGUUCGGGAGAGGGAAGCGGAAUUCCGGGUGUAGCGGUGAAAUGCGUAGAGAUCGGGAGGAACACCGGCGGCGAAGGCGGCUGCCUGGACCGGCCCUGACGCUGAGGCGCGAAAGCUAGGGGAGCAAACAGG
rnacentral:rRNA from 1 species